rnacentral:rRNA from 1 species
UACGGAGGGUGCAAGCGUUAAUCGGAAUCACUGGGCGUAAAGCGCGCGUAGGUGGCUAUUUAAGUCAGAUGUGAAAGCCCUGGGCUCAACCUGGGAAUGGCAUUUGAUACUGGAUAGCUAGAGUAUGGUAGAGGUGAGUGGAAUUUCAGGUGUAGCGGUGAAAUGCGUAGAGAUCUGAAGGAACAUCAGUGGCGAAGGCGGCUCUCUGGUCUGUAACUGACGCUGAUGUGCGAAAGCGUGGGGAUCAAACAGG